rnacentral:rRNA from 1 species
UGGGGAAUAUUGCACAAUGGGCGCAAGCCUGAUGCAGCCAUGCCGCGUGUGUGAAGAAGGCCUUCGGGUUGUAAAGCACUUUCAGCGAGGAGGAAGGUGGUGAACUUAAUACGUUCAUCAAUUGACGUUACUCGCAGAAGAAGCACCGGCUAACUCCGUGCCAGCAGCCGCGGUAAUACGGAGGGUGCAAGCGUUAAUCGGAAUUACUGGGCGUAAAGCGCACGCAGGCGGUUUGUUAAGUCAGAUGUGAAAUCCCCGGGCUCAACCUGGGAACUGCAUUUGAAACUGGCAAGCUAGAGUCUCGUAGAGGGGGGUAGAAUUCCAGGUGUAGCGGUGAAAUGCGUAGAGAUCUGGAGGAAUACCGGUGGCGAAGGCGGCCCCCUGGACGAAGACUGACGCUCAGGUGCGAAAGCGUGGGGAGCAAACAGAUUAGAUACCCUGGUAGUCCACGCUGUAAACGAUGUCGAUUUGGAGGUUGUGCCCUUGAGGCGUGGCUUCCGGAGCUAACGCGUUAAAUCGACCGCC